rnacentral:rRNA from 1 species
GUCCCAAGGGUUGGGCUGUUCGCCCAUUAAAGCGGUACGCGAGCUGGGUUCAGACCGGCGUGAGCCAGGUCGGUCCCUAUCUGUCGUGGGCGUUGCAGGUUUGAGAGGAUCUCUCCCUAGUACGAGAGGACUGGGAGGGACUCACCCCUGGUGAUCCAGUUGGCGCGCCAGCGCCACCGCUGGGUAGCUACGUGAGGCAGGGAUAACCGCUGAAAGCAUCUAAGCGGGAAGCCUUCCUCGAGAUGAGACCUGCGUGUCCGCCUCGAGCGGACGGGAGACCCCUGGAAGACCACCAGGUUGAUCGGCCGCGUGUGCACGGGCAGAGAUGUCCUCAGCAGAGCGGUACGAACGGUCGAGUGCUUGAUCAC